UACACGACCGUACCGCAAACCGACACUGGUGCGCGAGAUGAGUAUUCUAAGGCGCUUGAGAGAACUCAGGAGAAGGAACUCGGCAAAUUGACACCGUAACUUCGGAAGAAGGUGUGCCUUUAGUAGGUGAAGUCCCUCGCGGAUGGAGCCCAAUGAGGUUGCAAAAAAUCGGUGGCUGCGACUGUUUAUUAAAAACACAGCACUCUGCAAACACGAAAGUGGACGUAUAGGGUGUGACGCCUGCCCGGUGCUGGAAGAUUAAAUGAUGGGGUGCAAGCUCUUGAUUGAAGUCCCAGUAAACGGCGGCCGUAACAAUAACGGUCCUAAGGUAGCGAAAUUCCUUGUCGGGUAAGUUCCGACCUGCACGAAUGGCGUAACGAUGGCCACACUGUCUCCUCCUGAGACUCAGCGAAGUUGAAAUGUUUGUGAUGAUGCAAUCUCCCCGCGGAAAGACGGAAAGACCCCAUGAACCUUUACUGUAGCUUUGUAUUGGACUUUGAACAGAUCUGUGUAGGAUAGGUGGGAGGCUUUGAAGCAGGGUCGCUAGAUCUUGUGGAGCCAACGUUGAAAUACCACCCUGGUGUGUUUGAGGUUCUAACCUAGGCCCGUAAUCCGGGUUGGGGACAGUGCAUGGUAGGCAGUUUGACUGGGGCGGUCUCCUCCCAAAGUGUAACGGAGGAGUUCGAAGGUACGCUAGUUACGGUCGGACAUCGUGACGAUAGUGCAAUGGCAUAAGCGUGCUUAACUGCGAGACUGACAAGUCGAGCAGAUGCGAAAGCAGGACAUAGUGAUCCGGAGGUUCUGUAUGGAAGGGCCAUCGCUCAACGGAUAAAAGGUACUCUGGGGAUAACAGGCUGAUACCGCCCAAGAGUUCAUAUCGACGGCGGUGUUUGGCACCUCGAUGUCGGCUCAUCUCAUCCUGGGGCUGUAGCCGGUCCCAAGGGUAUGGCUGCUCGCCAUUUAAAGAGGUACGUGAGCUGGGUUUAAAACGUCGUGAGACAGUUUGGUCCCUAUCUUCCGUGGGCGCUGCAGAUUUGAGGAAGCCUGCUCCUAGUACGAGAGGACCGGAGUGGACGCACCUCUGGUGUAUCGGUUGUCACGCCAGUGGCAUUGCCGAGUAGCUAUGUGCGGAAGAGAUAACCGCUGAAAGCAUCUAAGCGGGAAACUCGUUUCAAGAUGAGAUCUGCCGGGGCCUUGAGCCCCCUGAAGAGUCGUUCAAGACCAGGACGUUGAUAGGUCGGGUGUGGAAGCGCAGUAAUGCGUUAAGCUAACCGAUACUAAUUGCUCGUGCGGCUUGACC
rnacentral:rRNA from 1 species